UUAGUCUUCUGUUACCCAUUUCCAACAAAGGCCUACUUUCCUUUUUUCAGUCUGGUAGUCUUGGCCAACUUUUCUCCAGUGCGCGGCGAACAUAACCUGGAACACCACCCAACAGAUAAUGGCCUUCUCCCAUUUUUAGUGCCUCUUUCGCAAGAAUAUGGGUGUAUGUAUUCUCUGUUUUAGGGACAAAAUGAAACCCAAUCUCUUGAAAAUGGACCUUUUUGCUGUGAAUAUCUCUGAUGAGUGCUCCAAUAACCGAUCUAUCGAAAUAUGUAGUUUGACAUUUCUUUAUUACAGUUCUUGAAUCUCCCACUAUUUCCAGAAUACUAAAACCCAUAGAAAUUCCUAAUCGUAUGGCUUGUAAUCCUGCAUAUGCCUCCGCCGUAAACGGAGAUGCUACAUCGGAAUGAAGAACCGUCGUUGAUACCAAGAUCUCGCCCCCCACAUCCCGUACUACCAGUCCCAAAGUAAAUCUGAAAGAUUGUUGGUCGAAGGCUACGUCAAAGUAAAUUGCCACACUCGUUCUCCUAUCGACAUAUUUAUGGCCUCUAUCUACUUUUAAGAUUAACCAAAGUCCGCAACAAAAAAUGCGAUACUGUUUGCUAGUCCCCCGACUAAAAACCCAGGGUAAAGCCCGAACAACAAACACGAUUAAUGCGACUCAAACUCAGACUAUACCUAGGACAAUAAACACCAUUAACUAUCAAGUCAUCACACAAGGUUCAACUUAUACUUGUUAUUGAGAAAGCUUUAGAAUAGAAUGCAAAUCCCUUUUGGGUUUUCAAAGUUUUUACAUUGAACUUCCGU